GCGUUAGGCAGACUCGGACUUCGGUCUUUACUGUGGCAUCGCUGCCUUUCUGGUCCCCACGACCGCAACCGCAGUCCCUCCGCCCAGCUCAAGAUGGGUAAAAAAAAAAAAAAAAAAAAAAAAGCACAGAAAGCGGAUGCGGUGGGAGGCCACGCCCCAGGCGGCCGGGAAAUCCAGAGCGGGCGCGCGCGUUGCCAGCCACUUCCGGCCCUCAGAGUCGGGGGCGGGGCCGCACGCGGCUCUGACGUGGGGCCUGCGGCUCCCCCUGUAGGCGGCGUGCAGCGAGACGGCGGAGCUGGAAGGCCUCGCCGCGUACGACGGUCGUUGCCCCUCGGUGCGCUCAGCCUUUCUUUCCAGGCCCGCCUCCCGCCUCCAGCCUCGAAUUUCCUUUUUUGCUCACAAUUUCCCCCGGCUCUCUGAGUGCGCUUUCUUUUCUCGGGAAGCGGGGAGUGGAGAAGGAGGAUAAAAAAGGCUCCAGGUGCGAGGCAAAGAUGGAGGAAGGCUCCCAGGCCCCGGACUGGGACAGUGAUGAGACGGUGAUAGACGAGUCGGUGACGGAGAGCGACCUGGAAGAAGAGGAGCUGCCCUGGAGAAGGUUGCUCUUUGAUGAAGACACAUCUCUUAGAUCUGAGUUCAGUCUCCAUCCUGGUAUAAGUGGAAGGUGCAAAGGCAAACUUUCUCCUGAGAUUCAACUUGGGUUUAAACUGAGAGAUAAUCCCCAAGAGCAAAUGAGUAAAAGUAAGAUAAUGCCUCUUAAUGACAAGGCAGUCUUACAGCAACCUCAAGAUGAACUGGAACAAAGUCAAGCUCUAUUCCAGCAUAGAAAAAGUUUUCCAGUGGUCACUGAAUCAUUUCCCCAGGCUGAACUUUCACUGAACCACCGAAGCAUUCAAGACUCUAGAAGAUCCAAAUCCAUUUGGAUUGCAAACUUCAGUUCAUCACAAUGUCACCACUUGUGA
rnacentral:lncRNA from 1 species